rnacentral:lncRNA from 1 species
CAGCAGGUCCCACUGAGGGCCCCCGUUGAAGAUCAGAGGGGUCUGGCAGGGCCUGUGGGACAUCCCGCCAUGCCUCGCUUCCUCCCCACACUGCUGCAGACAGGCUCUGCCCAGGACCUUUGUGAUGGGCAGGUCAACCUGACCAGAGGUGUGGAAACUUCUGGAUGCCUGCUCUUGUGAGUUCACCUCUAUGUCUACUCUACUGAGGCCUCUCCAUACAGGUCUCAGUUUCCUGCCUUCCUGGGAAGUGGGGAAAGGCUGAGAGGCCCCGUGCUGGGGGUGAAGCUAAUUCAUUAGUUACGCCUCAACAAGGACCGGGUGCCUGCAGUGCCAGCGUGAUUCAUCAUGAUGAUUGCCCCACUGCCAGCCUGCGUGGGCCUGGAACGCCAGCACAUUUUACCUUUACCCACUGAGAAGGGCCUGGUGGGAGGUGAAGGUACAGGAUCUGCCGAGAGCAAGAAAAAGACUCUGAGAAAGAAGAGGGCUGGUCCUCCAUGCUCUCGGCCCCAGGAAGCUCUGCCAGGCUGGUGCCGGGGUGGAGAGGCUCAUGUGGGCUCAUGUGGUGCUGCCUGUGCUGAUGGAGCCCAAGAGGGCAGCCUGGCGCUGGGUGCCAGCCUGAGCAUGUGGCGAGGCUGGGCUGCUGAGCCUCCUCCUCCACAGCCAAUGUUCCCUCAAACUGCUUGGGGGUGGGGGGAGGGACUCAUCCUCAUCCCAUUAGCCUGGCUGGGUAUUCCCUACCUUUCUGGUCUCUGAGAGACUUACCUCUUCCAAGAAGUCCUCCCGAAUGAGUAGAAGGGAGAGAGCUGGAUUGGAACUUAAGUGACAUCUGGGAGGAGCCUGAAGCCCCUCCGGUUGGGGCUGAGACUCCUAUACCCUAGGUCUGGUGUCUGGGUUCCACCUGGGUCCUCUACCUUGGCCUGGAUUCCUGCUUUCGUUUUGCCAGUCUCUCCCAGGAUGGGGGUGCAUGGCUGGUUCGUGGCUCAGAGCAACAUCUGCCUCUGUGUCCCCCCAUCAUCUGUCCGCCCCCUAACACCUCUUGCCAUAUUAGAAUUGCUAUUGCUCUGUCCUUUCAUUCAUGUAUCCAAC